rnacentral:rRNA from 1 species
UACGUAGGUGGCAAGCGUUGUCCGGAUUUACUGGGUGUAAAGGGCGUGCAGCCGGGCUGACAAGUCAUAUGUGAAAUCCCGCGGCUCAACCGCGGAACUGCAUUUGAAACUGUCAGUCUUGAGUACCGGAGAGGUCAUCGGAAUUCCUUGUGUAGCGGUGAAAUGCGUAGAUAUAAGGAAGAACACCAGUGGCGAAGGCGGAUGACUGGACGGCAACUGACGGUGAGGCGCGAAAGCGUGGGGAGCAAACAGG